AGUGAACGCUGGCGGCAGGCCUAACACAUGCAAGUCGAACGGCAGCACAGUAAGAGCUUGCCCUUACGGGUGGCGAGUGGCGGACGGGUGAGGAAUACAUCGGAAUCUACUUUUUCGUGGGGGAUAACGUAGGGAAACUUACGCUAACACCGCAUACGACCUACGGGUGAAAGCAGGGGAUCAUCGGACCUUGCGCGAUAGAAUGAGCCGAUGUCGGAUUAGCUAGUUGGCGGGGUAAAGGCACACCAAGGCGACGAUCCGUAGCUGGCCUGAGAGGAUGAUCGGCCACACUGGAACUGAGACACGGUCCAGACUCCUACGGGAGGCAGCAGUGGGGAAUAUUCGACAAUGGGCGCAAGCCUGAUCCAGCCAUGCCGCGUGAGUGAAGAAGGCCUUCGGAUUGUAAAGCCCUUUUGUUGGGAAAGAAAAACAGCAUGUUUAUACCCCGCUGUUCUGACGGUACCCAAAGAAUAAGCACCGGCUAACUUCGUG
rnacentral:rRNA from 1 species